CAGGACUCCAGACACAAUCUCAAAGGUGGUGCUGUACAGCUGCCCAACAGCGUUCUCCAGGAAGAACCACUGCUUCUCAAAGAUCACCUUCCUGUGAGGAGACCACACAGAGAUAAACACAGAUGAUGUCAGAGGGAUCGUCUGGAGGCUUCAGCAGGGACAGCUCCUCUGAUCUUCUGAUGUCUGAGAUGGAGCGAGCAGGAGACGGUGUGAGGGAUCAGGAGGAAUAUGGAAGGAAGCCACUUGGUCAUGAGGGGAGCCCAUGUGUGAAGCCUGCCACCCCCUGGUUUCUAC